AGUUGAUGGAGUCCCGUACCCUACUACGUCAGUGGGUUCAAGCUCUUGUCCUGAGGUCUCAGCGGGUGAAGGCAGAGCACACCUCCUCCUUGGGCCUCUUUCCACCGUCGGACAGAUGGCUGGCACUUCGUCUCACUCGCUCCUGCUUUCUAGUGGACAGACUGUGACCUGGGACUGUGAUUUCCCGUAAUUGCUCAGGACAUCGCACGACUGAUUUAACUCCUGGAAUUCCGAUUCCAUCCUAUUGGCACGAAGUGGAAACUCGGAGCUUUGAACAAACGUUCCAGGUGGUCUGUAGUGCCCACCCUUGGAGACACACUAUUGAAGAUUUCUCUGCGCCUCUCUGAGGAAAGAGGAGGACCUGGAGACAAGUCUGCCUCACAAC
rnacentral:lncRNA from 1 species